UCAUUUUUCUGUAACACGGAAACUAUUAUAUACAGGUUAAUAGAUAACUCUUUCCCACUAUGUUAUUUGCUAUUUCUCUCUUAGUUCUCAUGUCUCUGAGACCACAAAUAUGGGUUUAUCUUAGAAUUUAAGUUUAAACCUAACUAAUACUCAGUGAGAUCUGCAACAAUACUCAGAGAGGAAAUUAUGAAUCGGGACAAAAGUAUAGACAAGCCAAUGAAACCGCGAAGGCGUGAACCUCAAAGGUCAAGACGCGGUGACAGUGGUGGUAAUACUGGUGACCAUCAAAACCCAGUGCUAGGUCUGUGCCGAUUUGUUCUUGGGGUUAUCUUUUUGUCUUUGGUUUUGUUUGUUUUCUUUUAUUUCAUUUUAGGUAUAUGAAAAAUGAGAACUAUUACAGUGUGUGGUUUGAGAAAGAGUGGGGCACAGAAGAAUAAAAAACGUUUAUGCAGUAAAGUCACGGGACUCGGUGGAUCAAAUUCCAUACACUUUCAAAUUUCAGAGGAAAAGAAGGGUUCAAUUAGGGCACAGUGUUACCAAUGAUGGUGUAAGGACCUUGAUCCACUGUAACUAUUACAAGUUUGUAUUUUGUUUACAGUCAAGACUAUUAUUCUAUUAAGACUAAUUCUUCA